CUUUUCUGUUUCAUAUUUUGGAUAUUUAAGAUUUCAUUUGGAAAAGAAUUUUCACGGCUUCAAAACCAAUUUAGCCUUGUCUUCCCCGGUGGUCUCGUGGGUAGGACUGAGCGCGUUCAUGGCUGCAGCCCGGGUUCCAUUCCCCGUCUAGGAACUCAGAUCCCACAUCAAGACGCAGCAGGGUGCAGCCAAAAAAAAAAAGACAAAAACAAUCUAGCAUCGGCUGAUGUCUUAGGGAGGAAGAGCAGAGGAUGAGACGUGGAGUAUGGAAGAUCUGCCUUUGAGACCGAGAACCACGUGUUCCCAGAAAUAGGACAUGGAGACGUAUGGGAACCAGCGCUGCCUGUGGUCCUGAGUGCCACCAGCCUGCCUCGUGGCCACCCCAGGCUGAAAAGGACCAGGGUCUGACCUCCACGUCAUGGGAAAAUGAAAGCCGGAUGCCAGGUUGUGGUGUGGCUCUAACAGGAAGCAGGUGGCCCUUUUGUUGUGCACCUGUGUUCUUUGCUGUCACCAAGGUGGGCCCAGAGCGCCUUCGGAAUACGGCAGAGAUACUGUAACGCCACCUGCCAGGGCUGUGACUCGAACCAGGCAAGUGAGAAGAAAUAAAACUUCCUGAGUUGGGAGGAACACAGGCCCUGUGGACCAGGAGCCGCUGGAAGCUUCUGGAGCAGAAGGGCUCAGCCCUGCAAGGGCCACUGAGGCCAGGAGGGUGGCUUCGCAGGAAGAGGAAGGACAUUCAGGCUUAGAGCACAAAUCCCAGGUGAUCCUGGAGAGCAUCUCUGGUUCUGUUCUCGUCUGUGUUUCCUACGUGUUGCGCUGGGGACAGCCAGGCACAGUGUUGCGGAUCUGUGUGAAUGGGCAACUAGAGAUCACGCAUUUUAUCACUCAUGUCCAAAGUGCUUAAAAGUUACUUUGCUGAUUUAACGUGGAAAGCGUCCAGGUAGAUUAAUUUUAUGGGCUCUUUUUAUGGGGGUAACAUUUCAAAAGACUGCUUCUGGAUGGGUGUCAUCAGAUUU